GCAGGGCACGGUGGCACAUGCCUGUAAUCCCAGCAGCUCAGGAGGCUGAGGCAGGGGGAUCAUGGGUUCAAAGCCAGCCUUGGUAACAGCGAAGUGCUAAGCAACUCAGUGAGACCCUGUUUCUA
rnacentral:sRNA from 1 species